rnacentral:rRNA from 1 species
UACGGAGGGGGCUAGCGUUGUUCGGAAUUACUGGGCGUAAAGCGCGCGUAGGCGGCUUUGUAAGUUAGAGGUGAAAGCCCAGGGCUCAACCCUGGAAUUGCCUUUAAGACUGCAUCGCUUGAACAUCGGAGAGGUAAGUGGAAUUCCGAGUGUAGAGGUGAAAUUCGUAGAUAUUCGGAAGAGCACCAGUGGCGAAGGCGACUCGCUGGACAAGUAUUGACGCUGAGGUGCGAAAGCGUGGGGAGCAAACAGG